rnacentral:tRNA from 1 species
AGGAACUUAGGAUAGCAUUAUUAGACCACGAGCCUUCAAAGCUCCCAGCAGGAGUGAAAAUCUCCUAGUUCCUG